GUCAUAUGAAGAGAAAAUAUAGAUAAAACGUAUCGGUGCUCAUCGGCCAUAAACAUUACACAACAAUUUGGAGAUCGCAAAUUCAACAAUGAGUGGUUUGUAAGGAAUCGGUGACAGUGGCUUACUGCAAGCAUUGCACCAGGGAAUUCGGGAAUAAACAGCUCAAACUGGGAAAAUAUGUUUUGAACGGUUAUUUAACUCGGAAUUGUAAAUCCGGCAUCUUUCUCUUUGAUUACAAAUUUUGCCCACGAAGGACCGCCGCGCCACUUUCCUGUUAAAUAAAGCACAUCACAGUCCAAAAAUGUCUUAUGCUGCUUCAUCAAUUAUGUAGGAUGCCAGAGAUAUGUAUCAUGUAGCUAAAAAGUAAUACUAAGUGUAUGUUGUGUAGUAAGCUGUUAGUAGCCCAUGUGCCUCACCCUAAUAACUUGGUCUAUUUUCACCAACGCGGUAUUGUAAACAUCGUUCCUGGCAGGCUGCAUCUUUGUUGCAUGAUGAGGUCAAUCUGAGGGACAAGAACUUCCUAUUUUUACAUGGAACUGCAGAUGCACAUGUCCACAUCCAGCACACUGCCGAGCUAAUAGAUUGUCUGGUGGCAGCCAAGGCAAACUACUCUUUGCAGGUGUGAGAAUUUUGCAUGAGGAAAAUUUGAAAAGGCAUGUAGUGGAGAGGGAAAGUAUGCUCUGAAAUGUCUCUUUUGCAUACUUAUAUUUAAAUGAUGGAUAUUGCAGAACCUGAUCAUUUCAAAGAUCCUUAAAGAAUGUUUUCUUGUUUCUGAAGUGAAUUUGAUAUUGAAUUACAUAUUUAUUUGUUUGUUUACUG